UAUUUUAUUCCAACAUUUUGUGACUCACUGGAGCUCCGGUGAGCAUAGAAAGUAAAGCUAAGAAAGUGGAUUGUCAGAUUUCGGAGAAAACUGGACUAGCGAUGCGGCUGGUUCAGUGAUUUCAGUGGAUUUCUAUGUAGUUUGUGCCAUUUUCGAAGUGUUGGUCACCAGAACUGGUUGUUGAUCUAUCAUUAAUGAUAGAUUUGACAAUGGUCAGCUUUGAAUCUCUAUAUUUGCAUUGCCGGAGCUUCGGCGACCUCAAUAGCUUAUAAU
rnacentral:lncRNA from 1 species